AUAAUAAUAAUUAUUAUUAUUAUUAUUAUUAUUAUUAUAAUUAUAAUAGUAAUAAUAAUGACUUUGGUAAUACACACUGCUUCACUCCCUUCUCAGCUUCCUUUCUGGAAGAAUCCUUUCUUGGGAGGUGUUAGCUGGCCCUGAUUGUUUCCUUUGUGGAAUUCCCAAUUUCCCUACUUUCAGAGUGUUGCUCUUUAUUUACUGUCCUGGUUUUAGAGAUUAUAUUGUUCUGUAUUAUUCUACCACAGUAAUUAUUUCAUAUUACAGUAGAAUCUCAGUUAUCCAAUAUUCGCUUAUCCAGUGUUCUGGAUUAUCCAAUGCAGUCUGCCUUUUAGUAGUCAAUGUUUUUGUAGUCAGUGUUUUAAAUUCAUUGUGAUAUUUUGGUGGUACAUUUGUAAAUACAGUAAUUAAUACAUAGCAUUACUGCACAUGGAACUACAUUUUCUGUCUAAUUUGUUGUAUAACAUGAUUUUUUGGUGCUUUAUUUGUAUAAUCAUUACCUAAUUUGAUGUUUAAUCGGCUUUUCCUGAAUCCCUUCUUAUUAUCCAACAUAUUCACUUAUCCAACGUUCUGCCAGCCUGUUUAUGUUGGAUAAGUGAGACUCUACUGUAUAUUUAUAAUCUUAUAUUAUCUGCUUAGAACUGGAUUAUAUGAGGCCCCUUCUACACAGCUGUAUAAAAUGCACACUGAAGUGAAUUAUCUGGCAGUGUGGACUCAAGAUAAUCCAGUUCAAAGCAGAUAAUAUAAGAUUAUAAAUGGGUAAUAUAGUUGUGUGGAAGGGCCUUGAGUCUACACUGCCAUAUACUCCAGUUAAAAUCAGAUAAUCUGUAUCUUAGAGGCAGUGGGGAAGAGGCCUGAGGCCUAACUGUGCCUGUCCCCUGGGCUGAGUAGGUUGCUAGGAGACCAAGUGGGCAGAGUUUAGCCUUGUAACUGGCAGCAAUUGGAUAAAAAACAAUUAUUCAUCUCCCUCUAAUUAGGACUUUAUUUUUCUUUUCUUUUUGUUGUAUGAACAUAGAGGCAUGGUUGAGGGGUUGUGUUGCCAAGUUUAGUGUUUCUGGGAUGUGUAGUUUUGUUGUUUUGUCCUAGGCCAAAAUUAUUUAUAUAUAUAUAUAUAUACACACACACACACACACACACAUACAUACACAUACACACACACACACACACACACACACACACACACAUAUAUCCAUCUAUCUAUAUCAUCUUCUUCUUCUAUAUCUAUCUAUAUCUAUAUCUAUCUUCUAUUUAUCUUUUCAUAAUAAAAGUGAAAACCUGUAUGUGUGUAUGUGGCACAGGUGUCCACUCAACCCAUGCAUUGCUGGGUUCCCAAGCUAAUCUAUCUAUCUAUAUCUAUAUCUAUAUCUAUCUUCUAUCUAUCUAUCCAUAAUAAAAGUGAAAACCUGUAUGUGUGUAUGUGGCAUAGGUGUCCACUCAACCCGGGCAUCGCCGGGUUCCCAAGCUAAUCUAUAUCUAUUAUCUAUAUAUCUAUAUCUUCUAUAUCUAUUCUAUUCUAUUCUAUUCUAUUCUAUUCUAUUCUAUUCUAUAUUCUAUAUAUUCUAUAUUCUAUUCUAUAGCUAUAAUAAAAGUGAAAACCUGUAUGUAUGUAUGUGGCACAGGUGUCCGCUCACACAGUCUCUGGCCUCCACAAACGGGCUUUAGUUCCCAGUGCUGAGAAGCCAGCAAGUCACUCCCGUCCACUGACAUUGCGGUUACAGCGAGCUCCAUGAACAUGUAGCCCAAUCCCUGCCCAAUGUAGCCCAAUGUCCUCCCCAAACACUAUGGCCCACCACCCAAGGAAUGCUUUCAUUUGGGGACCAUUUCAUCCUAGAUUCUGCUUUUUCCACCACAGGCAGGCAUCCCAGAGUUCUCCAUUGGUGUGGAAAUUGCAUGAUCCCGCCUACUGCCCUUCCCUUUCAAAUCUGUCUGCAUAACAAACACAGUAGAACUGAGCAGCAACUAAAUUUACUGGAGGAGUAUGGGGGAUUGAAGUUGUAGUUUACCCUGUAUCAAGUCAGAACAUUGUGACUCCUACUGGGGAAUUCAUAGGAGUUGUAGUUCACCUACACCCAGAACGCUAUGAACCCAAACAAUGAUGGGUCUGGACCAAACUUGCAAUGCAUCCCCGAUAUGCCCAGAUUUGAAUACUGGUGGAUUUGGAAGGGAAUUGGCCUGGACAUUUGGGAGUAGUAGGUACUGGGAUUUAUAGUUCACCUACAAUCUAACCCCACUGAUGAUUGACCAGGAUCAAACUUGGCACAAAGAGCCCCCAUAACCAAUACAAGAUAUUGGACAAGUUUGGGGGAAAGGGAGUUAUAGUUCACCUGCAUCCAGAGAAACACUGACCCCCACCGACAAUGGACCGGGACCAAAAUUUGCACAGAGAAGCCUCAUGACCAACUGAACAUACUGCAGGGGUUUGUGGGAAUUGGCCUUGCUUUUGGGAGUUGUAGUUCACCUGCAUCUAAAGAUCACUGAACCCAGCCAAUGAUGGAUCUGGACCAAACUGGGCACACAGACUGAACAUUGUCUGCUGUGGAUACUGACAGAUGUUUCAAGACAAUUGUCCCGUGAAUCUGGGAGUUGUAGUAGUUCACCCCCAUCCAGAGAGCACUCCAGCCAGGCGAUGACCACCCAAUGACAGAUCUGGACCACACUUGGUACACAGAUCCAAAAUGGCCAACUUUGAAUACUGGCAAGUUUGGGGAGGAUUGAACCACGAUUCUGGGAACUGUGGUUCACCCACUCCACAAUGAGAAUACAUAACAUUUAAAGACAAAUAAUGACUUUUUCAAAUAACCCGGGCAUCGCCGGGUUCCCAAGCUAGUGUGUGUGUGUGUGUGUGUGUGUGUGUGUGUGUAUUCCUUCAGAACAUAUAAUGGAAGAUGACUGGUGCAUAACAAAUGCAUCAUAUGGGCUGGCAGCAUGGAUGUCCACCUCUUCCUUCCAGUGGAGUGCAAGCUUCAUUUUGCAAACUGCAUGUGAGUCAUGCAGUUUACUUGUAAAGAAGGAGGACCAUCUGCUAGUCAUGAGCAGAUGACAAAUUCAAUGCAUCGACACUGCUGUUAUUUCCAAAUUGGUAAGUAAACACAUUCUGUAACCUUGUAGUUAUCGCUUCUCUCUCCCCACAGCUCCACUAAUGGAAAAGUUUAAAUUUAUGCAAAACAUUGAAAAACAUCUUAUUUGAAAUGCAGUUUGAAAAGCACUUGCCGAAUUUUGACAGCAGAGAUUGUGAACAGCAAGCUACUGAGUGGAGCCUGUUUUACGCCACAAACAGUUCUGAUUUUAAGUGGAGUUUAAGUCUUCUGUUUCCUUCCGACAAAAGUUCCUGUUCCAAAAGCCAGCUAAAUAAAUGCUUAAAUAAAUGUCUUUUGAACUGUAUGUUCAGUAGUGCAGCUCUGACCUCUGCUGGAUAUAGACUUUAAAAGCAACUCCCAAGGGAAAUUGGGCUGACUUCUUUUACUGCUUAAAGAAAAUGCUGUAUAUUUUGUCUCAAACCACAGAGCCACAGCACUAGGACAUCCCGUUCAAGCCAUUGCCCUGUGGCAGGGAUCAUUGCCCUUAUGCUUUAUUAACCCACAUCCACCCAUGACUUGAUCCCACAUCUGUGGUUUCUUCUGGGUUAUUCCACAAGCAAAGUGUGCAAGACUGUCAAGAAGUAUCAUGUCAAAUGGUACAACAGGUGGGAGGAACAUGUGUAAUCAAUCAAAUCCAGAUGCCCAAGCAAAGAAAUGGCACAGUGCACCAAUAUGCACCAUCACACUAGGUCACCAGCCAGUCUGAAGAGGAAGAAAACAAUACAACUAAUCUAUAUGUAUGUAAAUGACCUUCAACUGCAUUGCCAUGGUGAUCCUUCCAACUAGCUAGUUAUUCUUAUCCUCCUGUACAGACUUGGUGGUGGUGGUAGGGUAAACCUGAGAGGCAGAAAUGUGAAGGCUUUUAGUUGCUACAGCUGUCAUGUAAGGAAUGGCUAUGGGAGCGGAGAUGAGAACAUUGCUCCCUCAUAAGAAUUCUGCCUUCUCCUAAAAACAUCUUGAUUCAGUCACCACUUUCUAGAAUUGCAGUUGAGCAUUUAGAGAUAGAUAUGGAUUGCGUGUUGAAAGGAAAGGGGCAAUGCAAACAAAGAGUAGGAGUUUUAGUGCAAAUGAUUAUCAGUGCCUCACUCUCUGCAAUGCUAGAAAUUUGGAGCCAAAUGACAAAAAAAAAUCAUGUGGUGGAACGACAUUUUUAGGGGGGUGCAAUGCCCGGAGGAGUUUUUAAAAUGCAAAAUUCACAUAAGACAGUAAGAUUUAACUCUAGCUGGAGUGCUGGAAUGUAUAAUCCACCUAAAAGGGUGGAGGAAAAGAAAAGGAAACUCAGAAAUCUUUCUUAUUAAAAUUGAAUAGUGCAGGAAAGGUGACUGAAAUCUAAAUGUGACUUUUCUAAUCUACCACAAUGAGGGAUAUUCUAGACACCAGGCUCCUUCUGCUCAGAACUAAAAGAAAUUGUGGAGCCAUUUCAUCCUUCUUCCUCUCCCCCUUUUCAUUGCUAAGAAUGAAGAUGGAAGGAACAAAAAGUUUGUAACUGAAGAUGACAUGACAGACCCCAUUUGGACUUGAAACUUGCUGUGAAUGUAUAUUUAUAUGUAUAAUUAUGAAGGUUUUUAAUGUAGGUUCUUAAUUGUAAUGUAAUUUUUAUUUAAAUGAAUUUCUAAAUGCGAUGUAAACUGUUUUUAUGUAUUUUUAUAUUGUAAGCUGCCCUGAGUCCCCUGAUGGGUGAGAAGGGCAGGGUAGAAGUGAUGUAAUAAAUAAAUAAAUAAGAUGACAAUAUCAAGAUUCCCUACAUGUCAGUGAAUGGGACAUACCAAAGAUAGUCCUAGGACAUGACAAAAGUGCAUUCUAAUUUUUUCAUUAGCAGAUAUUCUCUUCUUACAGAUGGGAUGUGUCCAAUCUGAUGGGAGAAUGCUGCAUGACAUGUGCAAGACAAAUUAUGCUGCUGUUGCUGUGUGCCUUCAGAUUGACUCCAAGAAAGAACCUGAACUAAGACUUCAGGGCACUAGGGAAACAUACUGGGCAACUUUGGGCAAGUCAUGCAUUCUCAGCCUUAAAGAAAAGCAAUGGAAACUUCUGAACAACUCUUACCAAAAGGCCCUAGGGUGAGUUUACCAUAACUUGGAGUCAAUCUGAAGGCACAUAGCAACAGCAGCAUAAUUUAUAUGCUGCAGCAGGGAAAGAAAGCCUUUAGUUCUAGGUAUUUUGGCUUACGGUUCCCAUCAAUCCCACAUAACAUGGCCAAUUAUGAGAAAUAGUUGGAAAAUAUCUAGAGAAUCAAAGAUAUUGCACCCGUGCUAUCAACCUUCCUUUUGUGCAGUUUCUCAGACUGUGACAUGCAUUGGUCUCAAUCCAACAUCCCCUCACCAAUAUCCCAUCAUCAGGCCUAACCAGCUUGGCUAACAAUGAGGUACAUGAGGGCAGCUGUUCUUUUAUAUCUAUGGACCUAAAGGUUCCCCAGCCUUAGUGUGUGAUAUCAGGCCUAGAACUUCAGAAAGUUACUUUUCCAAAUAUAAAGCCAAGAGUCUUUUAGUCAGCAUGACCACUGUGCUAAAAAAAGUAGUUUUUUCAAAGACUAGUUCAGACCUAUAGAAAAUUCAGACCCUUGUUUCAACUCAGUUAAUCAAAGAACAACCCUAGUAUACCUUAGAUUUGGAAAGUAUCCAAAAUAUCUGAGUGCCCAAAUUUUAAUGGCACAACAAAGAAGUCAGGUGGCUCACCUUUUAUUUCUGUAGCAACUAUCUUGUGUAUACUUGUUCUGCUUUACACAACAAGCCAGUCACUCCUCAAGAAUUCCUUUUAUAACCAAUUAAUGACUAUGCAACUAACAGCAUGAGAUUAAGAGUCUUCUGCUUUGUAUUAUUCCAUAAGUAGGCAGCACUUGCAAUGGCAGAUUAGGGCAAAUGAGGAGGGAAUAGGAAACCUUUUUAUGCUCCAGCUUGGAUUCCUAGUGAUAUCGUCAUCAUUCUUACUCAAUAAACAAAAAAGAUCAAUUUAUGAGCAGUGUGACCUGAUGCUAAAAAUUACAUGUAUGUUUUUCGGAAAUACUUUCAAUAUAUAACACAUGUAGUAGUUUGAAGAGCCUCUAAGAUACCUAAGAGCAUUGCCUUUUUAAAGUUUUAGGAAGUUGUCUUCAUAGUGCCUCCAUCAUGUUCUUUGCUGAUUUAUCUGAUGGCCUACUGACUGCAGGAACCAUCUGACUUUCAAAGUUCAUUCUUCCAUAUUGCCUUACCCAUAAGUUCUGUAAACCAGCUUCAAAUCUCUGCUGUGUGAAUCUCUCAAUGAAUACGAACACUGACCUGUUCCUAACUUUAGGUUUUCAUACCUGUGCCAGUUCUCAUUGCUAAGGAUAAUGAGGCAUCCACAAGGUGUUGCAAGAAGGAAUUGUGUUCUAUAUCAGAGCUCAGAAGCAAUGUGAUCUAAGCAAUAUGGUUGCCUGUGAUUCAUUAUUCUUUUGGUAAUGACAGCAUGAUGAUGCUACAAAUGGGUAAGAAUUAUAUUACCUUUUUGUUUGUUUAAUAAGUGUAAUGCAAUUAUAUAUCUGGAACUUAGAGUUAUGAAUCCCUAGACUGUGGAAUAACUUACCGAAAGAGAUCCGAAAACUAAAUGAACUGUCAAAAUUUAAAGCACAAUUGAAGUCCUAUGUCCUCUGGUAGACUUAUUCAAUACAUUUUAAACUAUGAAUUGUAAUCUACAUCUAUUAGUAUCAUGUUGUAUCCUUUGCACUCUGUAUUUAAAUAUAUAUGUUUUAAUGGUAUUAUAUAUUAUCUGGGCAUUUUUAAUCGUGUUGUACCCCACUUCAAGCUGCAAACCAGUUCAUCUUCAGAGCCAGCAGCUGGAUCUGGCAAAGAAGUCUAUCCUGCUGCUAACUGGAGUCCAAAUAGGAUGAUGUUUCAACCUCCUCACACCAGCAAAGGAGGCUACGACAAGGACUUAUGACAGGAGCCCAGAUUCAAAUUGUCACAGCCUCAUUUGCUGGCAAGAGGAGAAUCGUCAUGCUUCAUGCACCCCAGUCAGAAGCUGAAUGGAUCAAUCUUGCUCUAUUUGAUUGCUGGUGCUUAAGGUGGCCUUGGAGGGAUCAGUCCAGGAGAUAUUGUUAAGUAGCUAAUGUAGAAUGUAAACAAAUAUUUUCAUGUAUAUUUUUUGUAAUUUCUAAAAUAACAAAAAGUGUUUGAUUGAUUUAUUAGAAGUGUUGCCAGUCUUUUCCCCCCAACCUUAUACAAAGGCAAUUUUAGCCAUUCUCUUAUCAUAAUGCUACACCUGCAGAACAGAAUUAUAAUAAAUUACUUUUAGAGGCUCUGUAACAAGAUUACUUUUUAAAGUAGUUUUUCAGGUAUGAUGGCUAAUGGGCUACCCUGGAAUCAAUAGCCUAGGUUUCUUCCUUCAGGCCCAGUCCCUUCAACAAUUUUGAUAAGAAGCAGCACCAUUUUGUUUUUUUGCUUUUUUUUGUUUUGUUAUGGAAGCAAAAUGUGACAGAAUGGCCUAACUUCCUAACUUAGGUAGGUGAGAACAUUAUAAAUGUAUCUCUACCCCUGACACCCCAAGCACAUAAGUCAUGACUACCAUCUCACUUUGAUAACUGUGGAAGAGCUAAACAAAGAUCUCAUGGGCUCUUUAGGGUGCCAUCAUAAGUUCUAGCACUUUGGACAGCUCCCAUAAAGCUCAAACUAAAUGUGGAGAGGAAUCACCUCUCCACAGACACAGAACCUACCAGAGUUCACUACUUACAUGAUAAAAUCACACCUGAAGGCACUGUUAAGCACAUUUCAAGAAAUAUCCUUCAACUACGUAAGUAAGCAAUGUCUUCUGCCCCAACCCUCCAAGUUCAUCUUAACAGCUAGCAACUGCAUUGGGCAAAGGAGGUCUGUCCAGCUGUCAUUUGGGGCACAAGGAGGAGGCUAUCUCCACCCCUCCCACCAGGAAAUGGGGUUGCAAUGAGGAACUGCAGUGUGGAUCCUGUUUCCGAUUCUUGCAGUGGGAUAAGGCAAGAAAUCUCAACCUCCUUACAUUCCUAGUGACAACUGAACAAACCUCCUUCACCUGAUGUGGCUGCUGGGUGUGAAGGUGGGCUAAGGGAGUAUUUAUGAUGAUGGUAACAGUGCUACAAUCAUGAGUAUGUAGACUUACUGAAUAUGGAGCAUUUAUAGAUCCAUAAAUCUUAGAUACAAAUCUAAGAUGGCCAGACAAUUAUUUUUAAUCAAUUUAUUUCAAAGACAAAAAUAGAAACAAUAAUUAUUGCUUUCUCCUAAAGUGCAUUCCCAAAGUGUUCAAACUCCAAGAUAUACAUUUGCCUUUUUCAAUUUCAGGUCCUGCAAAUUCUAGGCUUGACUUCCUUGAUUGUGACUAUCAACUGCCUUCUUUCUCUGGACUCUUUACUAUGACAGUACAGAGCGGUAUCUGCUCCAACAAGUUAAAACUGACCACAGGAAAUGGAAACAACAACGAAAUGAGGUCAGACAGAGACAUAAAUUACCUGGGUAUGCGAGAUCUCCUAGAAGCCUGAACCAACAUAUCUCAUGAUAAGGAAAGGGUUCUUCUGGCGGGAAACGAGACCCUAUUUAGGUGUUUUGCCGCAAAGGAAACCUUGCGGAGUCAACUCGUCAGCUUGAGGAGUGAGAUCGUGUGUGGACUUAGUAAUCCCAGUUCCUUGUUUCCCGGACCAAGUUCCAAGCCUGCCUUGUUUCACGUUUGACCGCGGACCUCGCCACGGACCUUGUUCUUGCUUCUUGUUUGCCUCGUAUCAAGUCUUGUUUUGCCAAGAAUCUAGUUUGUUCUCCAGCCUUGUUGUCAAGCUUCAACGGACUAAAAGACCUUGUCAUCUCCCUACACUAUUGCUUGGCAAAGUGUGUGUUUCGGUUAAUGGAUUAUAACUUUGGACUCUAAUAUCACAUAUUGGACAUUAUUUUCCUGGACUAUAUUUGACCUUUCCUGAAAGGUCUACUUCUGAACUAUAUUCUUCACUUGUUUUUAUUGACUUUAUAUAUUCCUUUAAUAAAGAUAUUAGAUAGAA